CGGUGUGGACCUGGUCGGGGGAGAUGAAGUGGAUGUGGGUGUCGAUGCCGCCCGCGGUGAGGAUCUUGCCCUCGCCCGCGAAGACGUCGGUGGCCACGCCGAUGGGGAUGGUCACCCCGUCCAUGAUGUCGGGGUUGCCCGCCUUGCCGAUGGCGGAGAUCUUGCCGUCGGUGAUGGCCACGUCGGCCUUGAUGAUGCCGCUCGCGUCGAGGAUGACCACGUUCGUGAUCACCACGUCGGGGACGUUAUCGCGCAGGUGCCCGUUUUGACCCAUGCCGUCGCGG
rnacentral:sRNA from 1 species